rnacentral:lncRNA from 1 species
GAGUAGCCGAAGGCCGGAGCGGAGCCUUCGUCCUCCUCCUCCUCCUCAUCCUCCUCCUCCUCGUCCUCCUCGUGGUCAUCGUGGUCAUCGUCCUCCUCCUCCUCCUCCGGCCGGACGGCGGCCGAGCGGUCAGCACCGCCUCCGUCGGGCCUGCGGUCAUCUCCGGCCCCGCCCGGUGGCCGGAGCACGCCGGACAUCGGCGUGGCGGCCUGGUGCGGCCGAGAGGUGGACGCCGCCCGGCCGCUUGACCACCGGUCAUCUCCGGAGCCCGCUGACCACUGGUCAUCGCUCCGGCCGGGUCUUCCUCCUGCUGACCACUGGUCAUCUCUCAAUCCUGCUGACCACUGGUCAUCCUUGGGCCCCGCUGACCACGGCUCGUCCUUCACCUCCACUGACCACGGCUCCUCCUUCACCCUCACUGACCACUGGUCAUCCUUUGCUGACCACUGGUCAUCUCUUGAGCCAUCUGCUUUUCCUCCAGCUGACCACUGGUCAUCUUUCGGCCCUGCUGACCACUGGUCAUCCUUGGGCCCCGCUGACCACUGCUCGUCCUUCACCUCCACUGACCACGGCUCGUCCUUCACCUUCACUGACCACUGGUCAUCCUUGGGCCCCGCUGACCACUGGUCAUCUUUGGCUGACCAUGGCUCAUCCUUCACCUUCACUGACCACUGGUCAUCUUUGGCUGGCCACUGGUCAUCCUUGGGCCCCGCUGACCACGGCUCGUCCUUCACCUUCACUGACCACUGGUCAUCUUUCGAGCCCGCUGACCACUGGUCAUCCUUCACCCCAGCUCUUCCUCCAGCUGACCACUGGUCAUCCUUCGGCCCCGCUGACCACUGCUCAUCUUUGGCUGACCAUUGGUCAUCUUUUGCUGACCACUGGUCACUUUUCGACCCCGCUGACCACUGCUCAUCUUUUGCUGACCACUGGUCACUUUUCGACCCCGCUGACCACUGCUCGUCCCUCAGGCCGCCCCUCCCGCCCCUCCCCCGGCCGGCGGCCGUCCGGGCUCUCCGCGG